rnacentral:rRNA from 1 species
CACGUAGGGGACGAGCGUUGUCCGGAUUCAUUGGGCGUAAAGAGCGUGUAGGCGGCCAUGUAGGUCCGGUGUGAAAACUCGAGGCUUAACCUCGAGAUGUCAUCGGAAACCAUUUGGCUAGAGUCCGGAAGAGGAGAGUGGAAUUCCUGGUGUAGCGGUGGAAUGCGCAGAUAUCAGGAGGAACACCAAUAGCGAAGGCAGCUCGCUGGGACGGUACUGACGCUAAGGCGCGAAAGCGUGGGGAGCGAACAGG